rnacentral:rRNA from 1 species
AUUGAACGCUGGCGGCAUGCUUUACACAUGCAAGUCGAACGGUAACAGGCCGCUAGGUGCUGACGAGUGGCGCACGGGUGAGUAAUGCAUCGGAACGUGCCCAGCCGUGGGGGAUAACUACUCGAAAGAGUAGCUAAUACCGCAUACGAUCUAUGGAUGAAAGCGGGGGACCGUAAGGCCUCGCGCGAUUGGAGCGGCCGAUGUCAGAUUAGGUAGUUGGUGGGGUAAAGGCUCACCAAGCCAACGAUCUGUAGCUGGUCUGAGAGGACGACCAGCCACACUGGGACUGAGACACGGCCCAGACUCCUACGGGAGGCAGCAGUGGGGAAUUUUGGACAAUGGGCGCAAGCCUGAUCCAGCAAUGCCGCGUGCAGGAAGAAGGCCUUCGGGUUGUAAACUGCUUUUGUACGGAACGAAACGGCUCUGGUUAAUACCCGGGGCUAAUGACGGUACCGUAAGAAUAAGCACCGGCUAACUACGUG